GAUGAACGCUGGCGGCGUGCCUAACACAUGCAAGUCGAACGGGACUUAUUGAGAUGAUUUCGGUCUGAUCUUUAAGUUUAGUGGCGGACGGGUGAGUAAAGCGUGGACAACCUGCCUUUCACAGGGGGAUAGCAGCUGGAAACGGCUGGUAAUACCGCAUACGCUCUUUACACCGCAUGGUUCAGAGUGGAAAGAUUUAUCGGUGAAAGAUGGAUGCGCGUCUGAUUAGCCAGUUGGCGGGGUAACGGCCCACCAAAGCGACGAUCAGUAGCCGGCCUGAGAGGGCGGACGGCCACAUUGGGACUGAGACACGGCCCAGACUCCUACGGGAGGCAGCAGUGGGGGAUAUUGCACAAUGGGCGCAAGCCCGAUGCAGCGACGCCGCGUGAGUGAGGAAGUAUUUCGGUAUGUAAAGCUCUAUCAGCAGGGAAGAAAGGCCCGCAAGGGAGAUGACGGUACCUGACUAAGAAGCCCCGGCUAACUACGUGCCAGCAGCCGCGGUAACAC
rnacentral:rRNA from 1 species